GUUGUGCGCAAGGCUAACGGGAAAUGGAGACUUUGUAUUGACUUCAUUGAUGUUAAUAAAGCUUGUCCCAAAGACCCAUUUCCCUUGCCACGUAUUGACCAGAUUGUUGACUCCACAGCCGGAUGUGAUUUGCUUUCAUUUCUUGAUGCAUACUCAGGAUACCAUCAAAUCUUCAUGGCAGAAGAAGAUGAAGAGAAAACCGCAUUUAUCACCCCAUUCGCAAGGGUAGUCCACCACGCUUUUGAGCUGCAGAUGCACAGAAAUGUGGAAGCCUACAUGGAUGACAUAGUGGUCAAGACCAAGAACAGGGCGACCCUGAUUCAAGAUUUAGACGAGACAUUUGCAAAUCUGCGCAAGAUCAACCUCAAGCUCAACCCUGAGAAGUGCGUGUUUGGGGUCCCCUCCGGCAAGCUUCUCGGGUUCUUCAUGUCUCAGCGGGGAAUUGAAGCCAAUACCGACAAGAUCAAGCACCUACAUCCGAUAUUAAGUCUUUCAGGUGCGGUUGAAUUGGCAACUCAACUGUUAAUACUUGAGAAUAUUCUUUGGCUCCCCUUAUGUCGAAUCAAUAAAUUUGGGUUG
rnacentral:rRNA from 1 species